GGUCGCGUGGCCCAAUGGGUAAGAAUCACUAUCCAACUACUAGAGUUUAACUCAGUAACUAACAAUCAAUGUAGCAAGGCGUCUGACUACGAAUCAGGAGAUCGUGGGUUCGAGCCCCACCGUGACCU